ACACACACACCGCAGCUAUUCAUCCAGCCGAGCUGAAGCUGCAGUUCUCUCCCCAGCUCUGAGCGGAUCAACGAUGUUUUCCUGCAGAGCGGCCUGGCAGAGGUGCGGACCCUUAGCCCGCCGAGCAGCUUACAGGCUGCCGCGGGAUGUUGUGCAGCGACGGCCUAUGUCGUCACUCCCUGGCGGCUCUGGGGAGAACAUACUAUACGCUGCACUGUGCGGUGGAGCCUUUGUCGCUUCUGUGUCAUAUACAUACAUGACCAUGACCGGCGACAAGGAUAGGUACAACAGUAAUGUUGCAGAAAUCAAAGCCAGGCCCAAGACAGAGUGGGAACCUAAACCAUGGCCACCAAAGAGUGCGGAUGAUGAAGAGGGUGGAGAGGAGGAGGAGGAAGAGGAGGCAGCAGAAGAGGCAGCAGAGGAAGAUGCAGUGGCUGUGGCUGCAGAAGGAGAGGCCGAGGUCGGAGAAACGGAGGACGCUCCAGCUGCUGAGAGUGAGGCUGAAACCAUUGUGGAGGAAGUCGCAGAGGUAGUCGCUGAAGCUGCUGAAGUGGUCGCUGAGGUGGCGGAGGAUGUUGCUGAGGCUGCGAAGGAGGUGGAGAGUGUCGCCGAAGAAAUAGCCCAAGUAGCUGAAAGUAUUGAGGAGGCCGCCCAAGCUGUUGCAGAACCCGCCAUCGCUGCCGAGGAGCCAGAAAGAAAUGUGCUGCCGGUAGCUGCCUCUAUUGAAGAGUUACUGACGACGACAGAAGUAAAGGACGAGUUGGUACCUGCAGAAGAAGCUCCUGCACAAGUGGAAGUUAUACCUGCAGAAGAAGCAACUGCACCAGUGGAAGUUGAAUCUGUGCUUGAAGAGGCCCCUGCACAAGUAGAAGUUGCACCCGCAGAAGAAGCGUCUGCACCAACAGAAGAGGCGCCUGCACCAGUUGUUGAGGAGGCCCCUGUACCAGUUGAGGUCAUAGCUCUAGAAGAGACACCUGCACAAGUUGUUGUUGAGGAGGCCCCUGUAUCUGUAGAGGCUGCACCUGUUGUUGAAGAGGCCGAAGCACCAGUUGAGGUCACAGCUCUAGAAGAGACACCUGCACAAGUUGUUGAGGAGGCCCCUGCACCCGUGGAGGCUACACCUGUUGUUGAAGAGGCCGAAGCACCAGUUGAGGUCACAGCUCUAGAAGAGACACCUGCACAAGUUGUUGUUGAGGAGGCCCCUGCACCUGUGGAGGUUGAACCAGUUGUCGAAAUCUCUGCACCAGUAGAUGAACCAGUACAAGAGAUCUUGGCACCACUUAUGGAGGCUCCUGCACUAGUUGUAGAAGAGGCUGGACCAGUAGAGGCUACACCAGUGGCGCAAGAGGCAUCGGCUCCAGUAGAACCUGAAAUUUCCUCAGCUCUAGCUGAAGAACCAGUCACUGCUACAGCUGUAGAAGAGGUUGCAGUAGCCAUCCCUGCAGAAGUAGCCAGUGCUGUAGUGGAGGAAGCAGCGGCAGCCCCUGUUGAGUCCCUGGCAGAAGAGCCUCAGAGAGAGUACAUUGUUGUUGUUCUGGAAGGAACACCAAAUGCAGAGAAGAGGCCUAGGGUGCUCGGAGUGGGGCCAAUGAGUGGUAGAAUCAUCCCAGCGCAAGAUGAUGACGACCUCCCUGCUACGGAGGUAACUUUGUCAGACUGAUCACUUGGGCUCAAUGAGAAUGUUGGGUAGGCGACGUCUUCUUAGGAUGCAAAUGCAGUAGUUCCAAUUAAGUAAACGGCUCCUGAAAGAUUGAACGACUGUCUCGUACAGAAGAUGAGGAUGUGCCUUUCUCCAACAUGUUCCUGUCCUUUUACCCUGAAACCCAAGUACCUGUGCAGUUUUACUGCAAAGACACACAAUAGAAUGUGUUUAGAUCAAUACUUUCUUUAGGGAACUGUCAUCCAACUAUAUUAGCAGUGGUCCACAUAGCCCACUACUGUGACACUCCACACUGACCUUUAUGUCUUGACUCUAUAGUGUCACGAUGAGCCCAGUCAGUGGUAUAAUAGAUCUCUGAUCCAUCAUUCAGUUACCCUUCUUAUUACUUUCUGUUUACAGAUACUGAGCCAUUCAGUCUCCCUUUAUUCUCACUGUUACAGUUUACUCCCUCAAAAAUCACUACAGUGGAAAACCCUAAUACCCACCACUUCACUCUGUUCACCCAAUCACUGGCCCGCCACUUUAGUGUUACCUCUUCAAGUGAGUCACCAGCAAUCUUUACAUGACCCGACCUCAGGACUUCCCUCUGCUUCUUUCAAUGUGAAAAUGAACAGAUGGAAACACUCGUUUUAUCUUUCAUGAUGAAAUGCAAAAAUGUGCAGAGUAGUUGUGUUGUUACCUCAGUUUUCCUCAGUCUUUGAAAUGAUACUUCAGACCUCCUUUUUUCACUGCAUAAAGUGAGUUUGUUCCUUCUUACUUGUAGAUAAUCUGAUGGCUAUACAGUGAAUGUGCAAAUUUACAUGAAGAUUUAGCUCAGCAGCAUUCUUCAGUAAGGAAAAGGCAGGAGAAAGUAUAAUUAUCAAGCUGAUGUGUAAGUUAUUGCUUCUGUCCUUGCUGAAUGUGUUUUUUUGCUGUGGCAGUCUGACUGUGUGGAUGUCAUUUCAAGGCCUGCAGCAAGAGUAAACAGUUAUGACCGAUGUGCUAGUGUGACAUGAAACGUGUGUUUGGGAAGUGUUGCAGUAUGUCUGAAGAAAAGUCUCCGGUGUGAAAUGCUUUGAAAGCUCUGUCCUUGUUCUCUUGUCUUUGAUUUCCUAUUUCACGUGCUCUCAGCUCUUAUAUUGAAUUUCUGGUUUUCUUAGCUUUGCAUCUACAAUGUUAAACUGAUGUGAGAGGAUUGAACAUGAUUGUUUGUGUAAAUUUUAAAAAUGGAAAUGAGUUUCAGAAAGUUCCUCUUUUCUGUCAUUAAUGUUCACAGGCAGGUUUCUGUAGUGAGCUGUGAGUAGAAGCCUUCUACUAAACCUAGGGCAACAACUGUGUCUGUGAGACAUUACUGUUUUUCUUGUUUCACUAAAUAAAAAGGGAUUCAAUAUUU